CUUGACCGACCCGAGCCACAGCGGCCUGCCGGGCUCGCGACCCUGGCCGUAGGUGGCCAGCAGCGCCUGCGCUUC
rfam:Mycobacterium obuense strain TC1 Mobu_contig000181, whole genome shotgun sequence.